rnacentral:rRNA from 1 species
CUGUUGUAAGAGAAGAACGAGUGUGAGAGUGGAAAGUUCACACUGUGACGGUAUCUUACCAGAAAGGGACGGCUAACUACGUGCCAGCAGCCGCGGUAAUACGUAGGUCCCGAGCGUUGUCCGGAUUUAUUGGGCGUAAAGCGAGCGCAGGCGGUUAGAUAAGUCUGAAGUUAAAGGCUGUGGCUUAACCAUAGUACGCUUUGGAAACUGUUUAACUUGAGUGCAAGAGGGGAGAGUGGAAUUCCAUGUGUAGCGGUGAAAUGCGUAGAUAUAUGGAGGAACACCGGUGGCGAAAGCGGCUCUCUGGCUUGUAACUGACGCUGAGGCUCGAAAGCGUGGGGAGCAACCAGGAUUAGAUACCGUGGUAGUCCACGCCGUAAACGAUGAGUGCUAGGUGUUAGACCCUUUCCGGGGUUUAGUGCCGUAGCUAACGCAUUAAGCACUCCGCCUGGGGAGUACGACCGCAAGGUUGAAACUCAAAGGAAUUGACGGGGGCCCGCACAAGCGGUGGAGCAUGUGGUUUAAUUCGAAGCAACGCGAAGAACCUUACCAGGUCUUGACAUCCCUCUGACCGCUCUAGAGAUAGAGCUUUCCUUCGGGACAGGGGUGACAGGUGGUGCAUGGUUGUCGUCAGCUCGUGUCGUGAGAUGUUGGGUUAAGUCCCGCAACGAGCGCAACCCCUAUUGUUAGUUGCCAUCAUUCAGUUGGGCACUCUAGCGAGACUGCCGGUAAUAAACCGGAGGAAGGUGGGGAUGACGUCAAAUCAUCAUGCCCCUUAUGACCUGGGCUACACACGUGCUACAAUGGCUGGUACAACGAGUCGCAAGCCGGUGACGGCAAGCUAAUCUCUUAAAGCCAGUCUCAGUUCGGAUUGUAGGCUGCAACUCGCCUACAUGAAGUCGGAAUCGCUAGUAAUCGCGGAUCAGCACGCCGCGGUGAAUACGUUCCCGGGCCUUGUACACACCGCCCGUCACACCACGAGAGUUUGUAACACCCGAAGUCAAAGAGGUAACCGUAAGGAGCCAGCCGCCUAAGGUGGGAUAG